AGGAGUCGGUGCAGGUGCAGGAACCACCUAGAGUGGGUGACGCCACAGGAAGGGUUAAUGCGGUAAAACCCUGGUGGCCCCGGGCCUAGGAGGAGAUGGGCUGCCGGAUCCCGUACUCUUCGCGACAUGGGCAUCCUCAUCCUUCACGAGUCCAGACCCAGAUUCAGCUCUGGGGAAUAACUCCCCCACUUCCUGGUUGCUGGAGUUCUGACAUCAUAUGCCAAGGUCAGCGGUGGGACAAGGACCUUCCAAGGAAGCCUGCCAAGAGGAUCCUUCACAGCUGAGCAGGGUAAUGAGGGUGAUCCCUGGAGAAGCAGAGUGAGAGAAAACUGCUCUUCAACAGUAAACUCAACAGGGAAAAUGAAGACACUGGAUACCCAGGAACCAGAGGAGCAAAGGAAAAGCAAGAGACAAGGGGUCACAGGCUGCAGAAAUAGGAGGCUGGGCAGUGUGGCAUUCCAGACAUGGCGACCACAUGGUGACUCCCGCAGGAAGCCCUCACUUUUCCCGCCUGUGGUGCAGGGGCCCUUCACAUAAUUGUCUUGGGGUUUAUCUGAGGUACAAAGCUUGCUUAGGAAGGGAGUAAAAAAAAAAAAAAAAAACAAGAUAAUUCCAGGUGCCUGCCGUACAGUGUUUGAAAACUGGAGACCAGAAGGGUCAGGAUCCUUAGGUGGCUGGAACAUCCAUUGCCUUCCCCAGAGUGGAAGUACCUCCACGUGUCCUCUCAAAGGCUCUCAAAACCUCUCUCACCAUUACUUUCACUUCCUUUUAAAGAGACAUCCCCUGGGCACCCCAUCUCUCCCUCUUUGGAGGGGUUCUCAAACUGCUCCCCAAGGAAGGUUUCAGAGUUUGGUUUUACAGAGAAGGGGAUACUGGGAAUCUACAGAGAGACUUAGCAUGGCUCCGACUGUCCCUAUGCAAAGCCGAGCCUCGGUUCCCAACAGGAGCUGGGCAAGUUCUAUGAACUCUUAGCUUGAAACCCUUCUCCCCCAAUGUUAGUGGCCAUAGGUCUCCAAACAGCCUCCAUAGAGGGGCCGAGCUAGCUAGUUUCCCCAAACCGUUCUUUGCAGGACCACCAUGUAAUGGUCCAUGAGGCAAAGUUUCAGUGAAGUGGAAGGAGGAGAAAAUAAAACAUGAGAAGAACAAGGAGGGGGAUAUAGAGGAGGCAGAGGAAGAGAUGAGGUCAUUUAACAUCUCUUGAACUUGAAGCCCAAGGUGGUUGGUGGUUCUCAGCCACCAACUCUAGCACCAAAUUUGUGUCUGUUCAUUUGUUUUCAUUUUUUAAAAGUAUUUUUUUUUUAGUGUCAAUGGACAUUUAUUUAUUUAUUUAAAGUGGUGCUGAGGAUGGAACCCAGAACCUCACCCACGCUAGGCAAGGGUUCUACCCCUGAGCCACAACCGCAGCCCUGCUUUCAUUCUUCCUCUGGCCUCCUAUUGCCCUUCCUAGGCCCUGACCCUUGGGUUUCUGUAUCCAGGCACCUCUCUUCGUUCCCUGGCCUCUCAGGUUUCUGAGCUGGAAUGCUGACAUAUUGAGAAAGACAACAUCCCCUCAUUCUCGGGCCCUUUGCCCCUCAGGCCUCAACCUCUGUGACCUCUGAGAGGCCUUUCAUGUAGAUGUGUUGCUCCAGGGGUCCCCUCACUGCCCCCCUUAAUUCCCCUUGCACCCCUUGAGCCCAUUUCCACAAUGUGAAAUCUCGUCGUCCAAAUCCCUGUGCCUGUGCUUUUCCACCCCCAAACAUCCAGGCAACUCCCGGAUUCACUUCUUUCUUAGCUGCUUGUCCUGGCCCCAAUCUUGCUUUCCCUGUGAAGCCCACCAUGAUCAGCCUAUUUAAAAUUAUAGCAGGGCCUUGUGGAUGCUACAGCCUAAACAUGGACGCCUGAGGCACUUACGGAUCUGAAGGCCCAAAGAUGGACGUGUACCUGAGGAACUUCCGGAUCUGGGGGCCUAAACAUGGGCGCCUGAGGAUCUUCCGAAUCCUAGAGUCUCAACAUGGAUGUGCACUAAAGGAACUUCCGGAUCCUAGAGCCUAAACAUGGACGUGCAACUGAGGAAAUUCCGGAUCCAGGGGCCUAAACAUGGAUGCCUGAGUCAUUUCUGGAUCUCAGAGCCUAAACAUGGAUGCCUAAGGAACUUCCGGACCCCGGGGGCUUAAACAUGGACCUGCACCUGAUGAACUUCCAGAUCCGUGGGCCUAAAUAUGGAUGCCUGAGGAACUUCCGGAUCCUAGAGCCUAAACAUGGAUCUGCACCUGAGGCACUUCCAGAUGCUACGGCCUAAACAUGGAUGUACACCCGAGGAACUUCCAAAUCCGGGGGCCUAAAUAUGGAAGUGCACCCAUCGAAUUUCCGGAUCCUGGGGCUUAAACAUGGACGUGCGCCUGAGGAACUUCUAGUUCCGGGGGCCUAAACAUGGAUGCCUGAGGAACUUCCGGAUCCGGGGGCUUAAACAUGGAUGUGCACCCGAGGAACUUCCUGAUCCGUAGGCCUAAAUAUGGACACCUGAGGAACUUCCGGAUCCUAGAGCCUAAACAUGGACCUGCACCUGAGGCACUUCCGGAUGCUAAGGCCUAAACAUGGACGUGAACCUGAGGAACUUCUGGAUCCGGGGGCCUAAACAUGGAUGCCUGAGGAACUUCCGGAUCCGAGGGCCUAAACGUGGACGUGUCCCUGGAACUUCUGGGUCCUUGUGCCUAUAAAGGGUAGGGCAUGACUCUCAGAAGGGAUGUGGCCCAUGAAGGGGAGCCGAGUAUGGGGCCUGUUGAGAGGCAGACUGAGUUGUUGCACCCUGAACUUGAAUGUGACGCUGGCCUCAUUUCCCGGCCUUCUCCUGGGUGUCACUUCCUCCCCUUCCAGGUGGUGCUGGCGAGGAAGUGAGACCAGGCGCAGGGGCCAGGCCCUGAGGAGGGACACUGUCUUUCUCCUCGCUUAGCCAGGCGCCCAGCCUGGCUGGGGAAGGGGACAUCUUGUGACACUGGCUGCCUCCUGCAUCCCUGCCCCAGGACCUCAGGGACCACAGGCGGGGACAGUUGUUGAUUCUCCCCUGGUCGCUGACCCUCAGCCCUGGGGUCUGCCCAGGGACAACUCUGUCUCCCAGAGGGUCAGGGGGCCCCUGUGACCUGCUGCUCCUUACCCACCGUCAUCCUGGUCAGGACACCAGAUGCUACUGAGAGUGACAUCACCUAGAUGGGCGGCUAGGGACUUUGCCUCUGUCCCCAGGCCUUGGACACCGGAUGAUCCCCCCCAGAGACAGAAAAUGACCCCACACUGCCCAAGACUUAUUUUUAAGCUUUGGAUUCUGAAAUUUUCCUGCUGCCACCUUCUUUGUGAAGCCAAUUUUUCAAUAGAGACAAUAUUCCAGGGGGAGGGGCUGGGGUUGUGGCUCAGCGGUAGAGUGUUCGCCUAGCAUGGGCAAGGUCCUGGGUUGGAUCCUCAGCACCACAUAAAAAUAAAGAUAUUGUAUCCAACUACAACUAAAAAAUAGAUAUUGAAAAAAAAAGUAUUCCAGGGGGAAAAAAACCAAAACAAAACAUGGAGUCAAUCAAACCAAGCUGACAUAUCUGGACCUCCAAGAGAAAUCUGGAUUAGAGGGAGAACAGCCAUUCUCAACUGGUGAAAUAAUGAAGUUCCCUUGUCCUUAUUUUGUGUAAGCAAAAUAAAUAAUCUGAUGUUAAUUAUCAAAUUAUUUUUGAUGAGUGCUUGGCUCAUAGGAAAACUGAUUCUGUUUUAUGGGAAGAAGUGUUACCUGAUUUUAAAAUUUAAAAUGAAGCCAAUUAGGAUCGUUAAAUUACACUGUCAUAAUUCUGUUCUUUGAUAGCAGAAAUAAAUAAAUAAAUAAAUAUAAAAAAUAAAAUUAUAACAGGGCCUCAACUUCCAGGUACUCCUGAUCCUCUUUACUUUGCUUAAUCUUUCUCUUUUUUUAA